rnacentral:rRNA from 1 species
GAUGAACGCUGGCGGCGUGCCUAAUACAUGCAAGUCGAGCGAACAGACGAGGAGCUUGCUCCUCUGCCGUUAGCGGCGGUCGGGUGAGUAAAACGUGGAUAAACUCCCUAUAAGACUGGGAUAUCUUCGGGAAACCGGAGCUAAUACCGGAUAAUAUAUUGCACAGCAUGGUUCAAUAGUGAAAGACGGUUUUGAUGUCACUUAUAGAUGGAUCCGCGCCGCAUUCGCUAGUUGGUAAGGUAGCGGCUUACCAAGGCGACGAUGCGUAGCGGACCUGAGAGGGUGGUCGGCCACACGGGAAGAGAGACAGGCUCCAGACUCCGACGGUAGGCAGCAGUAGGGAAUCUUCCGCAAUGGACGAAAGCCUGACGGUGCAACGCCGCGUGAGUGAUGAAGGUCUUCGGAUCGUAAAACUCUGUUAUUAGGGAAGAACAAAUGUGUAAGUAACAAUGCACGUCUUGACGGUACCUAAGCAGAAAGCCACGGCUAACUACGUG